AUUGAACGCUGGCGGCAUGCCUUACACAUGCAAGUCGAACGGCAGCAUGAUCUAGCUUGCUAGAUUGAUGGCGAGUGGCGAACGGGUGAGUAAUACAUCGGAACGUGCCCUGUAGUGGGGGAUAACUAGUCGAAAGAUUAGCUAAUACCGCAUACGACCUGAGGGUGAAAGUGGGGGACCGCAAGGCCUCAUGCUAUAGGAGCGGCCGAUGUCUGAUUAGCUAGUUGGUGGGGUAAAGGCCCACCAAGGCGACGAUCAGUAGCUGGUCUGAGAGGACGAUCAGCCACACUGGGACUGAGACACGGCCCAGACUCCUACGGGAGGCAGCAGUGGGGAAUUUUGGACAAUGGGGGCAACCCUGAUCCAGCAAUGCCGCGUGUGUGAAGAAGGCCUUCGGGUUGUAAAGCACUUUUGUCCGGAAAGAAAUCGCACUUACUAAUAUUAGGUGUGGAUGACGGUACCGGAAGAAUAAGGACCGGCUAACUACGUGCCAGCCGCCGCCGUAA
rnacentral:rRNA from 1 species